GGUUUUCGGACCUAGAGACCGGCGCACGGGUGCGUAACGCGUAUGCAAUCUACCUUUCACAGAGGGAUAGCCCAGAGAAAUUUGGAUUAAUACCUCAUAGUAUAAUACAAUCGCAUGAUUGAAUUAUUAAAGUCACAACGGUGAAAGAUGAGCAUGCGUCCCAUUAGCUAGUUGGUAAGGUAACGGCUUACCAAGGCGACGAUGGGUAGGGGUCCUGAGAGGGAGAUCCCCCACACUGGUACUGAGACACGGACCAGACUCCUACGGGAGGCAGCAGUGAGGAAUAUUGGACAAUGGGCGCAAGCCUGAUCCAGCCAUGCCGCGUGCAGGAUGACGGUCCUAUGGAUUGUAAACUGCUUUUAUACGAGAAGAAACACCUCUACGAGUAGAGACUUGACGGUAUCGUAAGAAUAAGGAUCGGCUAACUCCGUGCCAGCAGCCGCGGUAAUACGGAGGAUCCAAGCGUUAUCCGGAAUCAUUGGGUUUAAAGGGUCCGUAGGCGGUCAGAUAAGUCAGUGGUGAAAGCCCAUCGCUCAACGGUGGAACGGCCAUUGAUACUGUCUGACUUGAAUUAUUAGGAAGUAACUAGAAUAUGUAGUGUAGCGGUGAAAUGCUUAGAGAUUACAUGGAAUACCAAUUGCGAAGGCAGGUUACUACUAAUGGAUUGACGCUGAUGGACGAAAGCGUGGGUAGCGAACAGGAUUAGAUACCCUGGUAGUCCACGCCGUAAACGAUGGAUACUAGCUGUUGGAAGCAAUUUCAGUGGCUAAGCGAAAGUGAUAAGUAUCCCACCUGGGGAGUACGUUCGCAAGAAUGAAACUCAAAGGAAUUGACGGGGGCCCGCACAAGCGGUGGAGCAUGUGGUUUAAUUCGAUGAUACGCGAGGAACCUUACCAAGGCUUAAAUGUAGAUUGACCGGUUUGGAAACAGACUUUUCGCAAGACAAUUUACAAGGUGCUGCAUGGUUGUCGUCAGCUCGUGCCGUGAGGUGUCAGGUUAAGUCCUAUAACGAGCGCAACCCCUGUUGUUAGUUGCCAGCG
rnacentral:rRNA from 1 species